AGGAUAAACGCUGGCGGCGUGCCUAACACAUGCAAGUCGAACGCGCUUGCUAUCCGCGAGGACGGUGAGCGAGUGGCGGACGGGUGAGGAACACGUGGGUGACCUACCUUUCAGUGAGGGAUACCGGCGAGAAAUUGCCGACAAGACCGCAUACGCUUCUCUUUUCAAGGGGAGAAGGAAAGCUUUUCGCAAGAGAGGCGCUGGGAGAUGGGCCUGCGGCCGAUUAGCUAGCUGGUGGGGUAAUGGCCUACCAGGGCGACGAUCGGUAGCUGGUCUGAGAGGACGAUCAGCCACACUGGGAUUGAGAACGGCCCAGACUCCUACGGGGGGCAGCAGUGAGGAAUUUUCGGCAAUGGGGGCAACCCUGACCGAGCAACGCCGCGUGCAGGACGACGGCCUUCGGGUUGUAAACUGCUUUUCUCUGGGACGAGCAAGGACGGUACCAGAGGAAGAAGCCCGGCUAACUACGCGCCAGCAGCCGCGGU
rnacentral:rRNA from 1 species